rnacentral:lncRNA from 1 species
CUGACAUGCAAUUGGAUCCUGGCGGCGGGAGGCCGGAUCCAAGCACUGGGGCCACUGUUCCUCCACCACCACAUCUUGAUGCAAUGGAUGCGGCAGCGGGUGGCUCGAUCUAGUGGCGGGAGGUCGAAUCUUGGCGGUGCAUGUGAUCUGUAGCUCCCGUUGGCUAUAUCCGGCAGUGGCGUCGGUAGAUCUAGUGAGCGGCGAUGAUGGUGCAUUGAUGGGCUCAGUGGGUUCAUCGAUGGUUUUUUCCUUUUUUAUUUUUCUAAUUGAUUUAUAAAGGUGGGCAAAGCAACGCCCUCCAUAGAUCUGGAUUCCCUAGAAUAGAAAUCUUUUUUGGAGGCGAUCAAAAAUGAUAUGGAGGUGGGCAAAGCAACUGCCACUGUUAAUUAGUACUAACUUGAGUUGUUGCUUUGACCAUCUCGGUUAAUUAAUUAAAAAAUAAAAAAAAUGAGUCUAGAUGCAAGCCCAUCUAGGGCCUAGCAUCAAGCCCAUCUAGGGCCAUUGCGCUCUAAGCCCGCUGCUAUCACAUCCACUCCAUUGUGCUUUGAACCAGAUCCAGUCGCUCUGCACCAGAUCUGACUGCCAGCCAC